rnacentral:rRNA from 1 species
CGGAGGGUGCAAGCGUUAUCCGGAUUUACUGGGUUUAAAGGGUGUGUAGGCGGACUUUUUAAGUCAGCGGUGAAAAUCUCCGGGGCUCAACCCCGGAAACUGCCAUUGAUACUAUUAGUCUUGAAUAUUGUUGAGGUAGGCGGAACGGGUCAUGUAGCGGUGAAAUGCAUAGAUAUGACCCGGAACACCGAUUGCGAAGGCAGCCUACUAAGCAAUUAUUGACGCUGAGGCACGAAAGCGUGGGGAUCAAACAGGAUUAGAUACCCUGGUAGUCCACGCCCUAAACGAUGAUUACUCGACGUUGGCGAUACACUGAUCAGCGUCCAAGCGAAAGCAUUAAAGUAAUCCACCUGGGAAGUACGUUCGCAAGAAUG